AUGGAGGCAACUCUGAACCAGCCAUGCCGCGUGCAGGAUGACGGUCCUAUGGAUUGUAAACUGCUUUUGUACAGGAAGAAACCUCGCUACGUGUAGUGAUUUGACGGUACUGUAAGAAUAAGGAUCGGCUAACUCCGUGCCAGCAGCCGCGGUAAUACGGAGGAUCCGAGCGUUAUCCGGAAUUAUUGGGUUUAAAGGGUUCGUAGGCGGUUGGAUAAGUCAGUGGUGAAAUUUCUUAGCUUAACUAAGACCCGGCCAUUGAUACUGUUUGACUUGAAUAGUAUGGAAGUAACUAGAAUAUGUAGUGUAGCGGUGAAAUGCUUAGAUAUUACAUGGAAUACCAAUUGCGAAGGCAGGUUACUACGUACUUAUUGACGCUGAUGAACGAAAGCGUGGGGAGCGAACAGGAUUAGAUACCCUGGUAGUCCACGCCGUAAACGAUGGAUACUAGCUGU
rnacentral:rRNA from 1 species